AUGUUUUUUAAACCACAGAUGACUUUUGACAGUGGCAAAGCCAGAGCGGGUCCGGAGCGCGGCCGUGGUGCGGGUCGGCGUGCCGGGCAGCGGCUGUGGCGCUGGGAUCCUGCUCGAGCCGGGCCUGCGGCUGCAGAGUUUAUUUUUGUAUUCUGCGUGAGCCGGGACUCGCGGCGGGAGCCGUGCGCCGCCGGCUCGGACUCGCACUUUGGUUUAAUUGCAUCUCCCCCUCAUCUCCUUCCUCCUCCUCCUCCUCCUCACCCAGCCUCCGCGAGAGGCGAGUCCCCCUCUCUGCCCGGGCUCCCCGYGUUUUGCAGGGCCAAGUUUUCCCUCCUCCUCCCUUUCAGCAGGUGCCAGGCCGGGGCAGCGGGAGCCCGGCUGCCCCCGGAGGUGCUGGGGCGUGCGCGCGUGAGCCCCCCUUCCCCGCUGUGCCGGGGGUCUCCCUCUUCCUUCCCGGGGGCUGAGCCGCGCUUCCCGCGGAGGCUGGCCGGGAAGGCAGAGCGGACACCCCACGGCCGAAAGCUGGUGUUGGGCCGCCCGGGGGGGGCCAGGCCUCGCUUGCCUUCCUGGCGCCUCGCGGAGGCGAGUGGCUCCAGGGCGCUGCCCCAGCCCCGGAGCGGGGAGCCUCCGGCCCCGCCGGCCUGGUGGGAGAUGGCAGGGAGCAGGGAAGGCAGAUGGAGAUGGGGACGACUGCCGAGGGUGCUGGCGCAGCUCCUUCCCCCGGCAGCUGGGAGCUCGGACCCGGGCGACGGCAGCUCUUCCCUGCUCCUUUCCCUGGGCCGCGUCUCCCUUCUCGGAGCUUUUCCAAAGCCUGUUCCUAAGUUGGGGUUUGUUUCCUUGUCCUCGAGGCUGAAGUUGAGCCUCAGCUCCCCGGGGCGGGGUUUGCCGUCGGCUCCUGGCCGUGUCGUGCCUGGUUUUCCCACCGUAGCUCAGGAGAAGGGGCAGGAUCGGGGGGGGGGCAGCRUUACCGUUCAGAGCAAACUUAGGCGAAGCAGGGAGGCGACUCUGCUGGCCACGGGCCACGUCUCACAGCUGAGAGGAGACGUGUCCCCAGGCACCUCGUGUAACUUGGGCCCUGCUUCGGCUUGGGCAUUGGACCAGAYGACCUCCAGACGCCUGUUUUCUGUUCAGCCGCUGGCCAACGGUACCAGCACCACCUGCUUCCCCGUGGGAUCUCACGGCAGAACCAGGGGGUUGGUUUGUAGGACCUCAGCAACCCUCUGCAGUUACUGUCAAUUCCCCGUUCAAAUAUCUGAAAGGAAAGGUACCUCCGUCUCUCUUCCUAACCGCUCUCUGCUGAACCUUGGAGCUAUAACCCGUCUUAAAAAUGUGUAGGUAUCCUGCCCACGUUUUACACUGAGGAAUAACACAGUGCCCUUAGCUUGAGCGUGGGAAUUGAAUCUCCCUAAAUUUGGGAAACGAGCCACCGUGUUCUAACACCGCUCRGCAGAAGAAGACCUAUAAUUUCUGCUAAGUUACUCUUUUACGUCUGUGCUUCCCUUUGCUUGAUCAUUCCUAGAGAAGCACACGCUCUGAAAUAUUUUUGUCGACAAGUUCGCGCGCGCGCGGGGAAUGCAACCUCUGCGGGGUGACGCCAUGAACCCCAGCUAGGCACGAGCGUUGUGACUAGCCUAGUCCUGCCCCAAACUUUUUUUGGAGAAUUGUGUGGGUUUUUUGUGUUUUUUUUUUCUUGCUCAUCCUGUUCUGCAGGUACGCAGAUAUUAAUAACGAGCACGGUUUAAAAACAAGUUUAGCUCUAGCUUAAAAAUUAAAUUGGCAGACGGCUGCGGCUGAGGGGGGGACGCUGCCACCCCGCGCGUCCCGGCUCCCGCCACAGAGCCGGCGUCCGCGUGACGAGCUUCGCAGAGGCCGCCGCGCCCGCAGCUCCGCUCGCCUUUUCUUCCUCCUCCUUGACCUGCGAUGAAGGGCUGUGCAUCGAUAUACGUGCGAGACCCUUAAUUCCGUUAAUAACACGCUGUAGAGACCYUUAUCUCUGUUCCCGUCCCUGUCAAAAAAGGGGAUCAGCGGGGGGUCGGGGCAACGGCACGUGCGUGGAGAACCAGGAGGAAGCCGGAACGCCCCGACGCUGGGUGGGCGCGUGGGUAUCUGCCGCAGCCAGCGUCAGUUAUCUUUUCCCUCUGGGCUUCGUUUUUAUUUCUGGUACAGGACCGGGCCGCAGCUGCGCCAGGCACGAGCGGGAGGGGGCGGGGGGCGAGGAGAGCCCGCCUGGACCUCCGGGGGAAGCGUGUGCGGGCGCGCCCGGGGCGCCACGCGCUGGCACGUGCGACUCAUCCUGUGAUUCCGUGUAAUUUAGGGCAGAGAGGACACGGCAGCG
ensembl:lncRNA